rnacentral:rRNA from 1 species
AUGCCUGUCCCCGGUCGUCCAGGUCUUCCUCUCCAGCGACCCGCUCGAGUCGUCGCACUGGAUGGCCGUCGCGACCAAGCACAGAUGGCCCGAGGCGCACAUCCUCUUCUUCUGGCGGCCCGGGGACGCCGCCUGGAGCGGCCCGGGGACGCCGCCUGGAGCGGCCCGGCCAAGGUUCCUUGCGCGGAACUCCACAGCGUCGAGUUCCAUGCGGGGAACAUAUACUGCAUCGACGGCAUGUCUAACGUGUCCAUCUACGAUCUCAAGCUCGGCACGGCGUCCCCUCCCGUGCUCCUCCGGUGCUUCGGCAUGCGCCCUAAUCAGGCGUCGGAGUCGUGGGAGACCCGCAAGUACUGGAAGGACAGCGUGCGUGCGGUGCACGUCGUGGCCUGCCGAGGCGAGCUCCUGCUCGUGCUGCUGUUCCACGGCCGCCGCCCGUCGCUCAUGGAAGUCUACAGGCCGGCGUGGACGCCCGCUGAAUGGCCCUUCCGGGUCGGUGAGAGGGUGACUGACCUCGGGGACUACGCGCUCUUCCUCGGCUGUGGCGACGCCGUUGCGCUGUCUGCCAAGGAGUACCCUGCGAUCAGGGGGAACUGCGUUUACUACCUGGUGCACAACCUCCCCAAGUACAGGAAGCAUUGGGCAAUGGUGUACGAAAUUGCUUCACACACGAUACACAUGAACGAUCUGCGAACGAUGCCUUCUCUACGCAUCAGCUAA